UACGUAGGGUGCGAGCGUUGUCCGGAAUUACUGGGCGUAAAGAGCUCGUAGGUGGUUUGUCGCGUUGUCCGUGAAAACUCACAACUCAAUUGUGGGCGUGCGGGCGAUACGGGCAGACUGGAGUACUGCAGGGGAGACUGGAAUUCCUGGUGUAGCGGUGGAAUGCGCAGAUAUCAGGAGGAACACCGGUGGCGAAGGCGGGUCUCUGGGCAGUAACUGACGCUGAGGAGCGAAAGCGUGGGGGAGCGAACGGG
rnacentral:rRNA from 1 species